rnacentral:rRNA from 1 species
CCGGCGCACGGGUGAGUAACACGUAUCCAACCUGCCGUCUACUCUUGGACAGCCUUCUGAAAGGAAGAUUAAUACAAGAUGGCAUCAUGAGUCCGCAUGUUCACAUGAUUAAAGGUAUUCCGGUAGACGAUGGGGAUGCGUUCCAUUAGGUUGUUGGCGGGGUAACGGCCCACCAAGCCUUCGAUGGAUAGGGGUUCUGAGAGGAAGGUCCCCCACAUUGGAACUGAGACACGGUCCAA